rnacentral:rRNA from 1 species
GACACAGAAGGAUAGGGAAUCGCACGAAUGGAAAUGUGCGUCCAAGCAGUGAGUGUGAGAAGUAGGCAAAUCCGCUUCUCGCGAAGCAUGAGCUGUGAUGGGGAAGGAAAUUAAGUACGGAAGUUCCUGAUUUCACGCUGUCAAGAAAAGCCUCUAGGAAGAGUAGUACUGCCCGUACCGCAAACCGACACAGGUAGAUGAGGAGAGAAUCCUAAGGUGAGCGAGAGAACUCUCGUUAAGGAACUCGGCAAAAUGACCCCGUAACUUCGGGAGAAGGGGUGCUCUAUUAGGGUGCAAGCCCGAGAGAGCCGCAGUGAAUAGGCCCAGGCGACUGUUUAGCAAAAACACAGGUCUCUGCAAAACCGUAAGGUGACGUAUAGGGGCUGACGCCUGCCCGGUGCUGGAAGGUUAAGAGGAGUGCUUAGCUUCGGCGAAGGUACGAAUUGAAGCCCCAGUAAACGGCGGCCGUAACUAUAACGGUCCUAAGGUAGCGAAAUUCCUUGUCGGGUAAGUUCCGACCCGCACGAAAGGCGCAACGAUCUGGGCACUGUCUCAACGAGAGACUCGGUGAAAUUAUAGU